rnacentral:rRNA from 1 species
UGACCCAGCAACGCCGCGUGGAGGAUGAAUGCCGUAAGGUUGUAAACUCCUGUUAGAGGGGACGAAUAAUUCCGAUAACCUCGGAACUUGACUGUACCCUCAGAGAAAGCCCCGGCUAAAUACGUGCCAGCAGCCGCGGUAAUACGUAUGGUGCGAACGUUGUUCGGAAUUACUGGGCAUAAAGAGCACGUAGGCGGUUGGGCAAGUCCAUUGUGAAAUCCCCACGGCUCAACCGGGGAACUGCAGUGGAUACUACUCGACUUGAGUGCAGGAGGGGAGAGUGGAAUUCCAGGUGGAGCGGUGAAAUGCGUAGAUAUCUGGAGGAACGCCGGUGGCGAAAGCGACUCUCUGGUCUGCAACUGACGCUGAGGUGCGAAAGCUAGGGGAGCAAACGGGAUUAGAUACCCCGGUAGUCCUAGCCCUAAACGAU